AAAAAUUUGGUCCAACAAUAAUGAUCAAAGGGCAAAGGGUGUUAAUGUUCGUCAACUAGUAAACAUGUUCACGCCUCCCUGCAAGCCAUAAAGAAACGCAACAUAUCAAACCGGGUACCUCGGUUUUGGAACCAGUUCCCAGCGUUUCGGUUCCGAAUCUCAAAUGUUGGGACCCGGUUGUUACCAGUUCCGGGUCCAGUUUCAAAAUCUUAGACCCGGUACUAACCGGUUUCGGGACCAGGUCUUUAGUUUUACAUCGGGUACUCGGUAGUGCUCACCCCUAGUUUUUUUUUUUGUAAUUAUUAUUAUUAUUCAAAUGUAAUACUCUUUCCGUCCCUUUAUUAAAAACCUGUAUUUUUUUUUUGACAAAUCAAAAUUAAAGACUUAUUUCUA